GUCAAGUAAGAAUACUACAGGCUGGAGAGAUGGCUCGGUAAUUAAGCGUGCUUUCUGAUCUUCCAGAGGACUUGAACUGGGUUCCCAGCACCUGCACAAGGGAUUAAGAAACCCAUCUUCUCUGGAGUGAAGUGUCUGAAAAGAGCUGAGGUCCCUGCAUGUGGCCACACAGAGCACUGUCCUGGCCCGUGUCCUGCUGCACUGACGAGUACAGCCUUGCUGAACUUGUUGAAGAGUCCAUUUGAAAAUGCUUGUGAAGAUUCAUCUCGGUGUUCUGCAAUUUAGCACUUUAGGUUUUGCACAUGCUAGAAG